UACGGAGGAUGCGAGCGUUAUCCGGAUUUAUUGGGUUUAAAGGGUGCGUAGGCGGACUGUCAAGUCAGCAGUAAAAUUGAGAGGCUCAACCUCUUCCCGCCGCUGAAACUGGUGGUCUUGAGUGGAUGAGAAGUACGCGGAAUGCGUGGUGUAGCGGUGAAAUGCAUAGAUAUCACGCAGAACUCCGAUUGCGAAGGCAGCGUACCGGCAUCCAACUGACGCUGAGGCACGAAAGCGUGGGGAUCAAACAGG
rnacentral:rRNA from 1 species